rnacentral:rRNA from 1 species
AGAGUUUGAUCCUGGCUCAGAACGAACGCUGGCGGCGUGGAUAAGACAUGCAAGUCGAGCGCUGAUUGUGGGGUAGCAAUAUUCCGCAGUCGGAGCGGCGCAAGGGUGCGUAACACGUGGGCAAUUUGCCGUAAAGUUGGGGAUAACUCCGAGAAAUCGGAGCUAAUACCGAAUGUGGCAGCCGGGAGGCAUCCUCUGGCUUCUAAAGUUGGGGACCGCAAGGCCUGACGCUUUACGAUAAGCCCGCGGCCUAUCAGGUAGUUGGCGGGGUAACAGCCCACCAAGCCUAAGACGGGUAGCUGGUCUGAGAGGACGACCAGCCACACCGGAACUGAGACACGGUCCGGACUCCUACGGGAGGCAGCAGUGGGGAAUAUUGGACAAUGGGCGAAAGCCUGAUCCAGCAAUGCCGCGUGUGUGAAGAAGGCCUUCGGGUUGUAAAGCACUUUAGGCUGGAAAGAAAAAGCUUUGGCUAAUAUCCAAAGCCUUGACGGUACCAGCAGAAUAAGCACCGGCUAACUCUGUGCCAGCAGCCGCGGUAAUACAGAGGGUGCAAGCGUUAAUCGGAUUUACUGGGCGUAAAGCGUGCGUAGGCGGCUAUUUAAGUCGGAUGUGAAAGCCCUGGGCUUAACCUGGGAACUGCAUUCGAUACUGGGUAGCUGGAGAUCGGUAGAGGGCGGCGGAAUUCCGGGUGUAGCGGUGAAAUGCGUAGAUAUCCGGAGGAACACCGAUGGCGAAGGCAACCGCCUGGGCCUGAUCUGACGCUGAGGCACGAAAGCGUGGGGAGCAAACAGGAUUAGAUACCCUGGUAGUCC